UACCAAUGCUAUGUCCAACAAACCAAAACAAUGAAACCUUGGAAAAAAUAGCGUUGAAUUUCCCAGAACUCCCAAGCAGCUGAACACUGCAUAUAUAAACUUAAAAAGGGUCACUCACCAAAAAGUAGCAGAGGAAAAUAUUCAAAAAUAUAAUGAGCAGAAGGUUUUGGACCAGUUGAAGAGAGACCAAACUGCGGACAAAAAAGACAUACUUGCAACAGGUGGUGGCACAUUUAGGCCUCGUCUCACAUAUGUAGGGGCACAAAUGUUGAGUUUGAUUGGCAAUCAAAUCCAACCUUUACCCAACAGUUGUGACAGUGCAUCUGGUUUCUUCACAUCUGGUGAGUCCUUAUUUUAUUAAUUUAUUUAAAUAAAGGUAACUAAUUUUAAAUUUAUUUAUAUAUACAGUAUGUCCCUGUAAGUUGUAUCCAUAUGGAAAACUUUUUUAUUAUUAAUUUUACGAAAAAAAGUUAUUCUUUGUAAAAAGCUCUGCAU